GCAGCAUGUGGGUUAGCAUGAAGCCUCGCUAAUCCUUCCCAGUUGACUGUGUACUGGAUGCAUUAUUUGACUGUUCAAUCAUCUGUCAGUUUCCCACUUCAACAGUUGACUAAGGACAAUAAACUGUUGAAUGGCUCUCAUCUCUGGUCCUCGUACUUGAACUGGUGUGCCAAUGCAGAAGCUCUAUACAUUAUCCAGCUUCCACAACUGCAAGUUUCUACAGGAGUCUGGGAUGGAUGCCUGCAGCGAAGGCAGGAGACCUCUGAAUGCCAGCAAUGUGGCUGAAGAUCAGGACAGGAGUCUGCUGGCUGGAGUGCAGGACCAGAAACCACUGGAGAUCUAAAUAGACUGGCAACCGGGUAGCAGGACUGGGGACCUUCAGGACAGCUGGACUGGAAUCCUGCAAGUGAACCGGUGGAGCCAAGAAAACCGGGAAAAAGUAGUAACACGGGAAGCAUGUGCAAUUUGUAAUUUCUCAAAAGACUGAGAAAUUGCUUUUACAUAUGAUGUGGACAAGCGACUAGAUGAUGUGGAGGUUGAACAAGUAUAAUUUAAAUUCUGAUCUGAGAAAUGUAUCAAAGUGACUGAAAACAACUGUAUUCUAUAAUGAAAUACUGAUUUAUAUGAAAAUAUCAGUCACAUUUCAAGGAUAAAAGUUCAACAAAUGUACAUAAUGCUUCCUUUUGUUAGUGUUUUGUAGGUCAGUGUGUUGUGAGUGUAUGCUUUCUAAGUGAGAAUUGUUGCAAGUGUCUUGUUUGAACGAGUCCAAUUUGAGACUUGUACGAAGUGUUUUGGUGGUUUGAGUGACUUUUGGAGGCAAGAUUAACUAUUUGGCCAGGAUGCAUGUUGGUAAUGCAGACUGUGAAGAGUUUUGAAAACGUGGCUUCAGUUGUGACCAUUGCAUCUUAGCAAUUGAGAAAUCUGUAAUUCUAAUGUACAAUUUAUACGUUUUUAGAGAUUGCUCUCUCAAUCAUUUCAGCAUGUAUUGUGUAGACCCAACAGACAGAGCAUUUGAAAAUUAAAACUAAAAUUGGAAUUUUUUAUUAGUGUAAUUUCCUUUAAAUAUAUUGUGGAAUAAUAAAUCUACAUUA